rnacentral:rRNA from 1 species
ACAGUGGACGCGAGCAUCUGUGGCCAAGUUUUUAAGGGCGCACGGUGGAUGCCUUGGCACCAGGAACCGAUGAAGGACGUGGGAGGCCGCGAUAGGCCCCGGGGAGCUGUCAACCGAGCUGUGAUCCGGGGGUGUCCGAAUGGGGAAACCCGGCAGUCGUCAUGGGCUGUCACCCACCGCUGAAUGUAUAGGCGGUGUGGAGGGAACGCGGGGAAGUGAAACAUCUCAGUACCCGCAGGAAGAGAAAACAACCGUGAUUCCGGGAGUAGUGGCGAGCGAAACUGGAUGAGGCCAAACCGUAUGCGUGUGAUACCCGGCAGGGGUUGCGUGUACGGGGUUGUGGGAUCUCUCUUUCAUGGUCUGCCGGCCAUGAGGCGAGUCAGAAACCGUUGAUGUAGGCGAAGGGCAUGCGAAAGGCCCGGCGUAGAGGGUAAGACCCCCGUAGCUGAAACAUUAGCGGCUCGUUUGAGAGACACCCAAGUAGCACGGGGCCCGAGAAAUCCCGUGUGAAUCUGGCGGGACCACCCGCUAAGCCUAAAUAUUCCCUGGUGACCGAUAGCGGAUAGUACCGUGAGGGAAUGGUGAAAAGUACCGCGGGAGCGGAGUGAAAGAGUACCUGAAACCGUGUGCCUACAAGCCGUGGGAGCGUCGCACAGCAAGCUUGCUUGUUGUGUCGUGACUGCGUGCCUUUUGAAGAAUGAGCCUGCGAGUUUGCGGUGUGUUGCGAGGUUAACCCGUGUGGGGUAGCCGUAGCGAAAGCGAGUCCGAUAAGGGCGUUUGAGUAGCACGCUCAAGACCCGAAGCGUAGUGAUCUAGCCAUGGGCAGGCUGAAGCGGAGGUAAGACUUCGUGGAGGGCCGAACCCACCAGGGUUGAAAACCUGGGGGAUGACCUGUGGUUAGGGGUGAAAGGCCAAUCAAACUACGUGAUAGCUGGUUCUCCCCGAAAUGCAUUUAGGUGCAGCGUCACAUGUUUCUUGCCGGAGGUAGAGCACUGGAUAGGCGAUGGGCCUUACCGGGUUACUGACCUUAGCCAAACUCCGAAUGCCGGUAAGUGAAGUGUGGCAGUGAGACUGCGGGGGAUAAGCUCCGUGGUCGAGAGGGAAACAGCCCAGAGCAUCGACUAAGGCCCCUAAGCGUACGCUAAGUGGGAAAGGAUGUGGAGUCGCAGAGACAACCAGGAGGUUGGCUUAGAAGCAGCCACCCUUGAAAGAGUGCGUAAUAGCUCACUGGUCAAGUGAUUCCGCGCCGACAAUGUAGCGGGGCUCAAGCGUACCGCCGAAGUCGUGUCAUCGAUACAUAUACCUCCAACGAGGGUAUUGAUGGGUAGGGGAGCGUCGUGUGCCGGGUGAAGCCGCCGUGUAAACGAGUGGUGGAUGGUUCACGAGUGAGAAUGCAGGCAUGAGUAGCGAUUCACACGUGAGAAACGUGUGCGCCGAUUGACUAAGGGUUCCUGGGUCAAGCUGAUCUGCCCAGGGUAAGUCGGGACCUAAGGCGAGGCCGACAGGCGUAGUCGAUGGAUAACCGGUUGAUAUUCCGGUACCCGCUGUGAAGCGACAAACAUUGAAUCAGGCGAUGCUAAGCCCGUGAAGCCGCCUUUGAUCCCUUCGGGGUGAUGAGGAGUGGUGGAGCCGGUGACCCAGACUUGUAGUAGGUGAGUGAUGGGGUGACGCAGGAAGGUAGUCCAGCCCGGGCGGUGGUUGUCCCGGGGUAAGGGUGUAGCCCGAGCAAUAGGUAAAUCCGUUGCUUAUGGGGUGAGACCUGAUGCCGAGCCGAUUGUGGUGAAGUGGAUGAUCCUAUGCUGUCGAGAAAAGCCUCUAGCGAUGUUUCAUGGCGGCCCGUACCCUAAACCGACUCAGGUGGUCAGGUAGAGUAUACCGAGGCGUUCGGGUGAACUAUGGUUAAGGAACUCGGCAAAAUGCCCCCGUAACUUCGGGAGAAGGGGGGCCAUUUCCGGUGACGGCAUUUACUGCCUGAGCUGGGGGUGGCCGCAGAGACCAGCGAGAAGCGACUGUUUACUAAAAACACAGGUCCGUGCGAAGCCGUAAGGCGAUGUAUACGGACUGACGCCUGCCCGGUGCUGGAACGUUAAGGGGACCGGUUAG